rnacentral:rRNA from 1 species
GCAGCCGCCGCGGGAAUACAGAGGGUGCGAGCGUUAAUCGGAUUUACUGGGCGUAAAGCGUGCGUAGGCGGCUUCUUAAGUCGGAUGUGAAAUCCCUGAGCUUAACUUAGGAAUUGCAUUCGAUACUGGGAAGCUAGAGUAUGGGAGAGGAUGGUAGAAUUCCAGGUGUAGCGGUGAAAUGCGUAGAGAUCUGGAGGAAUACCGAUGGCGAAGGCAGCCAUCUGGCCUAAUACUGACGCUGAGGUACGAAAGCAUGGGGAGCAAACAGGAUUAGAUACCCCUGUAGUCCCUGUCUCUUAUAC